AGGAAAGGAUCUUAAAAGGACAGACGCAAGCAUGUCUGCUAGCCUGCAUUUAAUCUGCUUUCGCAACUGUUCUUUUGGCUUUAUAGUAGCACAAGCAGCCGAAGAUCUCCUGUUGGAGUCAGUGCUUUCCCAAAGGGAUCCCAUCUUCCUGUCAUUCAGGCUUCCUGUGAGAGGCCCUGGCGUGCCCAGUGCUCAAAUGUCUUUUGUUGGGAAGUGUGGCUUCUGGUACCCAAGUGCUUUGUGCAGUGUCUGCUAGCUGUUCCUUACCAGGUGUGGUGAGAAGACCUCCUGCAGGUGCAAACACAAGCUGUGAUCAGCUGGUGCCUCAGCUCGGUGUGACCUGAUGGCUUGGUGCAGGAGCUGGCACUGCUUCCUGGUGUUACCCAGACUCAC
ensembl:lncRNA